CUACCCGCCGUGAAUUGCAGCCACACUUCUCUCUCUGGCUCUCAUCCACACUAAUUUACUGAGAUUGAUUCUACUGGAUGUAACCUGGUAAAGAUGUUGGGGAUUUCUGUUUAAAAGAAUCUCCUUUUUCCUUCUGUUUGGAUGCAUUAAUCGGGUUAUUAUUGAUUGGUCAUUCUUGAAGUUAUCUUCUCUUUCUCUUGAAACAUGUUCUUAAUGGUGUUGUCAGAAAUCAGUCCACCCAUAUCAAAUUCAAACCUCCAGCCUCGAACUCUGCAAUCCCAACAAAGGGCAAGGGUUUUGGAAUAUCCUGGGAUGCUAUGUAUGCUAAAAUUGAGUUUCAGUGUUCAAGGAUAUCUUGAAGAGUAAUAGUCUUGGGUAUUGCAACACAGAUCAUGGUAAUGUCAGUUGUAUUCUCUGUAAGACUGAAAUUUUUACCAUUUAUUGGUAAUGGUAUGUUGUCCUUGGAUCA